GUCUACCGGAAGUUAUACCCAUGUUACUUGUUACGCUAACGACAAUUAUCCGCCAUGACUUAGUGGAAAAGUAAGAAAAACGAGCCCUAAAGAGUAGGUGACUGGUAAAUCCAAAAAUGAUGUCGGAGUCAACGAAGAUGGUCCCCAGGUCGAUGACGCCGGGGUCCGGCUUGCCGCUUCCGGGAGCCCCCGUGCGGACGGCAUGACGAGGACUGCCCUGGGGGGAGCGGAUGCAAGGGAGAAGUGGCGUCGGCUCACAUUUUUGCUGGGGAGGCUGCAAUUUCAAUUAUGUCGCCGUUCUGCCACAAAAAGAGACAAAAAGAGGGAUGAGAUGAACAAGCACCAAGAUAAGAGGUGAGAUCUGCAUACACAAACAUGCAGUUUCAAAAACACAUUGUAAAAGCAAAUGUCACAGAGGAAGAAGACAUGAGAACUAUAACACUUUGCAUACGUCAUCACUUUUCACCACAAAAACAUGCGACCCAUAGGAUUUAUGACACUCUUAAAAAAAA